rnacentral:rRNA from 1 species
AUUGAACGCUGGCGGCAGGCCUAACACAUGCAAGUCGAACGAGUGGCGGACGGGUGAGUAAUGUCGGGGAAACUGCCCGAGGGAGGGGGAUAACUACUGGAAACGGUAGCUAAUACCGCAUACCAUGGGGUGGGCACAGAUGGGAUUAGCUAGGAGGUGGGGUAACGGCUCACCUAGGCCACGCUCCCUAGCUGGUCUGAGAGGAUGACCAGCCACACUGGAACUGAGACACGGUCCCGACUCCUACGGUAGGCAGCAGUGGGGAAUAUUGCCCAAUGGGUGCAAGCCUGAGACAGCCAUGCCGCGUGUAUGAAGAAGGCCUUCGGGUUGUAAAGUACUUUCAGCUAGGAGGCGUUACUCGCAGAAGAAGCACCGGCUAACUCCGUGCCAGCAGCCGCGGUAAUAC